rnacentral:rRNA from 1 species
UGCCCCAGUAACGGCGAGUGAAGCGGCAACAGCUCAAAUUUGAAAUCUGGCCCCUCCGGGUCCGAGUUGUAAUUUGUAGAGGAUGCUUUUGGUGAGGUGCCGCCCGAGUUCCCUGGAACGGGAGGGUGAGAGCCCCGUCUGGCUGGCCACCGAGCCUCUGUAAAGCUCCUUCGACGAGUCGAGUAGUUUGGGAAUGCUGCUCAAAAUGGGAGGUAUAUGUCUUCUAAAGCUAAAUAUUGGCCAGAGACCGAUAGCGCACAAGUAGAGUGAUCGAAAGAUGAAAAGCACCUUGAAAAGAGGGUUAAACAGUACGUGAAAUUGUUGAAAGGGAAGCGCUUGUGACCAGACUUGGGCGCGGCGGAUCAUCCGUGCACUUCGCCGCGUUCAGGCCAGCAUCAGUUCGUCGCGGGGGAAAAAGGCUUCGGGAACGUGGCUCCUCCGGGAGUGUUAUAGCCCGUUGCAUAAUACCCUGCGGUGGACUGAGGACCGCGCAUCUGCAAGGAUGCUGGCGUAAUGGU